AGCGAACGCUGGCGGCGUGCCUAACACAUGCAAGUCGAACGUGAAAAGGGAAACCUGAGUAAAGUGGCGUACGGGUGAGUAACGCGUAGGUAAUCUACCCCAGAAUCUGGAAUAACCUGCCGAAAGGCGGGCUAAUACUGGAUAGAGCGAGGGAACUCGUAAGAGAGUUUUUCGGGAAAGGGAGCCCGCAAGGGCCUUCGUUCUGGGAUGAGCCUGCGUCUCAUUAGCUAGUUGGUAAGGUAACGGCUUACCAAGGCGAUGAUGAGUAGCUGGUCUGAGAGGAUGAUCAGCCACACUGGAACUGAAACACGGUCCAGACUCCUACGGGAGGCAGCAGUGGGGAAUCUUGCGCAAGAGACGAAAGUCUGACGCAGCCACGCCGCGUGAGUGAAGAAGGCCUUCGGGUUGUAAAGCUCUGUCGGAUGGGACGAACAUCUUCAUAGUGAAUAGCUAUGAGGACUGACGGUACCAGCAAAGGAAGCACCGGCUAACUCCGUG
rnacentral:rRNA from 1 species